GGCGGACGGGUGAGUAACGCGUAGGAAUCUGCCUAGUAGUGGGGGACAACAUGUGGAAACGCAUGCUAAUACCGCAUACGCCCUGAGGGGGAAAGGAGGGGAUCUUCGGACCUUUCGCUAUUAGAUGAGCCUGCGUGAGAUUAGCUAGUUGGUGAGGUAAAGGCUCACCAAGGCGACGAUCUCUAGCUGGUCUGAGAGGAUGAUCAGCCACACUGGGACUGAGACACGGCCCAGACUCCUACGGGAGGCAGCAGUGGGGAAUAUUGGACAAUGGGCGCAAGCCUGAUCCAGCCAUGCCGCGUGUGUGAAGAAGGCCUUAGGGUCGUAAAGCACUUUCAGGAGUGAGGAAGGGUGUACGGUUAAUACCCGUAUAUUUUGACGUUAGCUCCAGAAGAAGCACCGGCUAACUCUGUGCCAGCAGCCGCGGUAAUACAGAGGGUGCAAGCGUUAAUCGGAAUUACUGGGCGUAAAGCGCGC
rnacentral:rRNA from 1 species